rnacentral:rRNA from 1 species
GAUGAACGCUAGCGACAGGCUUAACACAUGCAAGUCGAGGGGCAGCAGGGGAGUAGCAAUACUCCCGCUGGCGACCGGCGCACGGGUGAGUAACACGUAUGCAACCUGCCCUUGUCAGGGGGAUAAGCGGAAGAAAUUCCGUCUAAUACCGCAUAAUGUUGCGGGGAGACAUCUCCCUGCAGCCAAAGAUUUAUCGGACAAGGAUGGGCAUGCGGCGCAUUAGCUUGUUGGCGGGGUAACGGCCCACCAAGGCGACGAUGCGUAGGGGUUCUGAGAGGAAGGUCCCCCACACUGGUACUGAGACACGGACCAGACUCCUACGGGAGGCAGCAGUGAGGAAUAUUGGUCAAUGGCCGGGAGGCUGAACCAGCCAAGUCGCGUGAGGGAAGACGGUCCUAUGGAUUGUAAACCUCUUUUGUCAGGGAGCAAAAACUGCCACGUGUGGCAGGAUGAGAGUACCUGAAGAAAAAGCAUCGGCUAACUCCGUGCCAGCAGCCGCGGUAAUACGGAGGAUGCGAGCGUUAUCCGGAUUUAUUGGGUUUAAAGGGUGCGUAGGCGGACAGUUAAGUCAGCGGUAAAAUUGAGAGGCUCAACCUCUUCCCGCCGUUGAAACUGAUUGUCUUGAGUGGGCGAGAAGUAUGCGGAAUGCGUGGUGUAGCGGUGAAAUGCAUAGAUAUCACGCAGAACUCCGAUUGCGAAGGCAGCAUACCGGCGCCCAACUGACGCUGAAGCACGAAAGCGUGGGUAUCGAACAGGAUUAGAUACCCUGGUAGUCCACGCAGUAAACGAUGAAUACUAAUUGUUCGGGUCAAAUGAGAUCUGAGUGAUACAGCGAAAGCGUUAAGUAUUCCACCUGGGGAGUACGCCGGCAACGGUGAAACUCAAAGGAAUUGACGGGGGCCCGCACAAGCGGAGGAACAUGUGGUUUAAUUCGAUGAUACGCGAGGAACCUUACCCGGGCUCAAACGACACAGGAAUGAUCUGAGAAAUCAGGCAGUCCUCCGGGACCUGUGUCGAGGUGCUGCAUGGUUGUCGUCAGCUCGUGCCGUGAGGUGUCGGCUUAAGUGCCAUAACGAGCGCAACCCCCAUCGACAGUUGCCAGCAGGUCAAGCUGGGCACUCUGUCGAGACUGCCGGCGCAAGCUGUGAGGAAGGCGGGGAUGACGUCAAAUCAGCACGGCCCUUACGUCCGGGGCGACACACGUGUUACAAUGGCAGGUACAGCGGGAAGCCACCUGGCGACAGGGAGCGGAACCCGAAAGCCUGUCUCAGUUCGGAUUGGAGUCUGCAACUCGACUCCAUGAAGCUGGAUUCGCUAGUAAUCGCGCAUCAGCCACGGCGCGGUGAAUACGUUCCCGGGCCU